UGGGGGACAACAUUUGGAAACAGAUGCUAAUACCGCAUAACAGCGUUGUUCGCAUGAACAACGCUUAAAAGAUGGCUUCUCGCUAUCACUUCUGGAUGGACCUGCGGUGCAUUAGCUUGUUGGUGGGGUAACGGCCUACCAAGGCGAUGAUGCAUAGCCGAGUUGAGAGACUGAUCGGCCACAAUGGGACUGAGACACGGCCCAUACUCCUACGGGAGGCAGCAGUAGGGAAUCUUCCACAAUGGGCGCAAGCCUGAUGGAGCAACACCGUGUGAGUGAAGAAGGGUUUCGGCUCGUAAAGCUCUGUUGUUAAAGAAGAACACGUAUGAGAGUAACUGUUCAUACGUUGACGGUAUUUAACCAGAAAGUCACGGCUAACUACGUGCCAGCAGCCGCGGUAAUACGUAGGUGGCAAGCGUUAUCCGGAUUUAUUGGGCGUAAAGAGAGUGUAGGCGGUUUUCUAAGUCUGAUGUGAAAGCCUUCGGCUUAACCGGAGAAGUGCAUCGGAAACUGGAUAACUUGAGUGCAGAAGAGGGUAGUGGAACUCCAUGUGUAGCGGUGGAAUGCGUAGAUAUAUGGAAGAACACCAGUGGCGAAGGCGGCUACCUGGUCUGCAACUGACGCUGAGACUCGAAAGCAUGGGUAGCGAACAGGAUUAGAUACCCU
rnacentral:rRNA from 1 species